UUCCAACCAAAUUACCGAGAAAUUAACAUAGAUGGUUCCAGGUUUGCAAGUACAGUUAAUGAUCACUACUUUCAUUGAAUUUUUUGUUGUUUUAUUCAAUUUUAUAGCAUUUGAAAAAAAAAUGAAACAGUUUCUAAACAGUAUUCUGACUAAACUUUGACAUACACAAGUCUUUGAUUAUCCAUCGACAUACAUUCCUCUAAUAUUAGUCAAAAUAAUUACUCAUUUCAGCUUUUCUGACUCAAAAAUUAAGUAUAAUUUAAAACUCCAACGAGGUUUAUUAACCAUGAAUUCCGAAAAAUAAGUGUAACACUAGUGGUAAUAAGUUGAUGUCCGUGGCGUGUAUAUAGUACUGGUGGUAGUGGAAAAAAGUCCCAAACAGUUAA